rnacentral:tRNA from 1 species
UCCCUCAUAGCUUAGUCAGUAUAGAAUCUGCCUGCAAUGCAGGAGAUCCGGGUUCGAUUCCUGGGUUGGGAA